rnacentral:rRNA from 1 species
GAUGAACGCUGGCGGCGUGCUUAACACAUGCAAGUCGAACGAGAAAUGGAGACGGAAACCUUCGGGCGGAAGGCUUCAUUUCGAGUGGCGGACGGGUGAGUAACGCGUGGGUAACCUGCCUCAUACAGGGGGAUAACAGUUGGAAACGACUGUUAAUACCGCAUAAGACCACAGCACCGCAUGGUGCGGGGGUAAAAACUCCGGUGGUAUGAGAUGGACCCGCGUUCGAUUAGCCAGUUGGCGGGGUAACGGCCCACCAAAGCGACGAUCGAUAGCCGAUCUGAGAGGAUGACCGGCCACAUUGGGACUGAGACACGGCCCAAACUCCUACGGGAGGCAGCAGUGGGGAAUAUUGCACAAUGGGGGAAACCCUGAUGCAGCGACGCCGCGUGAGUGAAGAAGUACUUCGGUAUGUAAAGCUCUAUCAGCAGGGAAGAAAAUGACGGUACCUGAGGAAGAAGCCCCGGCGAACUACGU